UACAGAGGUCUCAAGCGUUGUUCGGAUUCAUUGGGCGUAAAGGGUGCGUAGGCGGCGCGGUAAGUCGGGUGUGAAAUCUUGGAGCUUAACUCCGAAACUGCAUUCGAUACUGGCGUGCUUGAGGACUGGAGAGGAGACUGGAAUUUACGGUGUAGCAGUGAAAUGCGUAGAUAUCGUAAGGAAGACCAGUGGCGAAGGCGGGUCUCUGGACAGUUCCUGACACUGAGACACGAAGGCCAGGGGAGCAAACGGG
rnacentral:rRNA from 1 species